UACGGAGGGUGCAAACGUUGCUCGGAAUCAUUGGGCGUAAAGCGCACGUAGGCGGCUUAGCAAGUCGGAAGUGAAAUCCCACGGCUCAACCAUGGAAGUGCUUUCGAAACUGCUGAGCUUGAGUACGAAAGAGGAUCGCGGAAUUCCCGGUGUAGAGGUGAAAUUCGUAGAUAUCGGGAGGAACACCAGUGGCGAAGGCGGCGAUCUGGGUCGAUACUGACGCUGAGGUGCGAAAGCGUGGGGAGCAAACAGG
rnacentral:rRNA from 1 species